rnacentral:rRNA from 1 species
UACGGGGGAUCCGAGCGUUAUCCGGAUUUAUUGGGUUUAAAGGGUGCGUAGGCGGCCUUUUAAGUCAGCGGUGAAAGUCUGUGGCUCAACCAUAGAAUUGCCGUUGAAACUGGGGGGCUUGAGUAUGUUUGAGGCAGGCGGAAUGCGUGGUGUAGCGGUGAAAUGCUUAGAUAUCACGCAGAACCCCGAUUGCGAAGGCAGCCUGCCAAGCCAUGACUGACGCUGAUGCACGAAAGCGUGGGGAUCAAACAGG